rnacentral:rRNA from 1 species
GACGAACGCUGGCGGCGUGCUUAACACAUGCAAGUCGAACGGAAAGGCCCUGCUUGCAGGGUACUCUAGUGGCGAACGGGUGAGUAACACGUGUGUGUUCUGCCCUGCACUUCUUGGUAAGCCUUGGAAACUGUGUCUCAUACCGGGUAUAGGCCCUUUUUCUUGUUAUGGUUGGAUAGUUUUUUCGGUGUAGGAUGAGCUCGCUGCCUAUCAGCUUGUUGGUGGGGUAAUGGGCUACCAAGGCGGCGUCGGGUAGCCGGCCUGAGAGGGUGGGCGGCCAAAAUGGGACUGAGAUACGGCCCAGAACUCUAAGGGAGGGAGCAGUGGGGAAGAAUGCACAAAGGGCGCAAGGCUGAUGGAGAGAAGCCGCGGGGGGGAUGAAGGGCUUCGGGGUGGAAAACCGGUUCGGUAGGGAAGAAGGUGUGUGUGACGGUAACUAGAAAAGAAGCACCGGCUAACUACGUG